ACUCCAUACAUCACAGUGGAUGAAGGUACACCUGACUCCUCCAGGAAGUUGUAUUCUAGGAGUACUUCUCAGCCCCAAAUAGCUUCUUUAUAUUCUGGCUCUACCUUGGCUCUACCAAAAUCAGCCUCGUUUACUCCUGAAACAGAAUUUCAGAAGAAUCAUAGUUCUUCAGCACAGUUGAAUGUAAAGGUCUCCUUGAGCAUCACGCCACCGCCGGGACUGAAAAAUGAAAAAUAUCAGAUUCCAGAAAUCUUUCUAACACUACGUGCACCAGGAGAUAAUAUCGUGAUACCUCUGAAUCCAGUAUUUGGCAGACCCCUAACCCUAGACUUAAAUCUUAUCCCCAAAAAACAUGUUAAAUCCAAGCACUGUUCUCCAAGCCGUGCCAGUCCCAGGAAAGUCCAUUCACGGCCAUCAUCUCCUUACCGAGGUUCACCCGCCAAGUUUGUGACCCCCCUUAUCAGCCCUGAUGAGGACUGCUUUUCCCUGAUUGAGAAGAUACACACAGCCCACCUGCAAAAAGGAAUGCCCCAAGGAGGACAAAAUGCUAAAGAGUUUCAGGAGAGGGAAAAGGUAGAGCAAAGAAAGGGAAAGGGGACUGGAAAGAAAGAUAAGAAGAGUGGUUCCAAUAAAUAAGAGACAUUGGACUUGGAAUACAGGAACAAUUAUGGAAAUUACCAAUGAAACAUCAGUAUUGGUUUUGAAAAUAAUGUCACAUUAGAGUUUUUGUUGUUUUCAGAUGCCCACAGUAAUUAGAAGCUCCUGCUAGGGUUAUAUUAUAAGUAGUUUGAUGCUAGAAUUUGACAUACAUGCAGGGUAUGCACUGUUGUCUUUUAAUUUUUUUGGUGUGGGUGAAAAUGCUUAGGUUUGUGUCUUAUUUUACUUUAAAUUUGCAAUGUAUACUAUAUACACAGAAUAUAUAUUUAUAUAGCUCUGUUAAACUAUGUAAGG